rnacentral:rRNA from 1 species
AUUGAACGCUGGCGGCAGGCCUAACACAUGCAAGUCGAGCGAGCGGCGGACGGGUGAGUAAUGUCUGUGAAACUGCCUGAUGGAGGGGGAUAACUACUGGAAACGGUAGCUAAUACCGCAUACCAUCAGAUGUGCCCAGAUGGGAUUAGCUAGUAGGUGGGGUAACGGCUCACCUAGGCGACGAUCCCUAGCUGGUCUGAGAGGAUGACCAGCCACAAUGGAACUGGUAAACGGUCCAGACUCAUAGGGGAGGCAGCAGUGGGGAAUAUUGCACAAUGGGGGAAAGCCUGAUGAAGCAAUGCCGCGUGUGUGAAGAAGGCCUUCGGGUUGUAAAGCACUUUCAGCGGGAAGGCGUUACCCGCAUAAGAAGCACCGGCUAACUCCGUGCCAGCAGCCGCGGUAAUAC